GUAGCUGUGGUUGAUGACUAAACUGUUGGAGUGGUGCUUGUGAUGAAGAGCUGCAGCUGAAGGCAGACAGAGACAGCGGUUCAAAGACAUUUUCAUGUACUUGCAUUCCCAGAACCGAUUAUACAGAACACACAGAGCGGACAAAAAACGGAAGAGGUAUUUGUCAGAAGAGAUUACCUGUUGCCAUGCAGUAGCCUGUAGGUGAUCCCUUGUUGUUGCCAUGGUGACUGCAGGCAGGCAGAGGCAGACAGCAGUGAGCAUUUUGGGAGACUCACAGAUUUAUACACUGGCCUGUUGUGGUAUUGUGAUGCUGUGGUAUUGUGAUGUGGUAAUGUGAUAUUGUGAUGCUGUGGUAUUGUGAUGCUGUGGUAUUGUGAUGCUGUGGUAUUGUGAUGUUGUGGUAAUGUGAGGUUGUGAGGCUGUGAUAUUGUUAUGCUGUAGUAUUGUGAUGUUGUGGUAGUUUGGUGUUGUGGUAUUGUGAUACUGUGGUACUAUGAUGCUGUGGUAGUGUGAUGUUGUGGUAUUGUGAUGUUGUGGUAUUGUGAUGUUGUGGUAUUGUGAUGUUGUGGUAUUGUGAUACUGUGGUACUAUGAUGCUGUGGUAGUUUGCUGUUGUAGUAUUGUGAUGUUGUGGUAUUGUGAUACUGUGGUACUAUGAUGCUGUGGUAGUUUGAUGCUGUGGUAUUGUGAUGCUGUGGUAGUGUGAUGCUGUGGUAUUGUGAUGUUGUGGUAAUGUGAGGUUGUGAGGCUGUGAUAUUGUUAUGCUGUGGUAUUGUGAUGCUGUGGUAGUUUGAUGUUGUGGUAUUGUGAUACUGUGGUACUAUGAUGCUGUGGUAUUGUGAUGCUGUGGUAGUUUGAUGCUGUGGUAUUGUGAUGCUGUGGUAGUGUGAUGCUGUGGUAUUGUGAUGUUGUGGUAUUGUGAUGUUGUGGUAUUGUGAUUCUGUGGUACUAUGAUGCUGUGGUAGUUUGAUGCUGUGGUAUUGUGAUGCUGUGGUAGUGUGAUGCUGUGGUAUUGUGAUGUGGUAAUGUGAGGUUGUGAGGCUGUGAUAUUGUUAUGCUGUGGUAUUGUGAUGCUGUGGUAGUUUGAUGUUGUGGUAUUGUGAUACUGUGGUACUAUGAUGCUGUGGUAUUGUGAUGCUGUGGUAGUUUGAUGCUGUGGUAUUGUGAUGCUGUGGUAUUGUGUUUUGGUAAUGUGAGGUUGUGAGGCUGUGAUAUUGUUAUGCUGUGGUAUUGUGAUGCUGUGGUAGUGUGAUGCUGUGGUAUUGUGAUGUUGUGGUAUUGUGAUGUUGUGGUAUUGUGAUACUGUGGUACUAUGAUGCUGUGGUAGUUUGAUGCUGUGGUAUUAUGAUGUGGUAAUGUGGUAUUGUGAUGCUGUGGUAUUGUGAUGCUGUGGUAGUGUGAUGCUGUGGUAUUGUGAUGUUGUGGUAUUGUGAUGUUGUGGUAUUGUGAUACUGUGGUACUAUGAUGCUGUGGUAGUUUGAUGCUGUGGUAUUGUGAUGCUGUGGUAGUGUGAUGCUGUGGUAUUGUGAUGUUGUGGUAAUGUGAGGUUGUGAGGCUGUGAUAUUGUUAUGCUGUGGUAUUGUGAUGCUGUGGUAGUUUGAUGUUGUGGUAUUGUGAUACUGUGGUACUAUGAUGCUGUGGUAUUGUGAUGCUGUGGUAGUUUGAUGUUGUGGUAUUGUGAUGCUGUGGUAUUGUGUUUUGGUAAUGUGAGGUUGUGAGGCUGUGAUAUUGUUAUGCUGUGGUAUUGUGAUGCUGUGGUAGUGUGAUGCUGUGGUAUUGUGAUGUUGUGGUAUUGUGAUGUUGUGGUAUUGUGAUACUGUGGUACUAUGAUGCUGUGGUAGUUUGAUGCUGUGGUAUUAUGAUGUGGUAAUGUGGUAUUGUGAUGCUGUGGUAGUGUGAUGCUGUGGUAGUGUGAUGCUGUGGUACUAUGAUGCUGUGGUAGUUUGAUGCUGUGGUAUUGUGAUGUGGUAAUGUGGUAUUGUGAUGCUGUGGUAUUGUGAUGUGGUAAUGUGGUAUUGUGAUGCUGUGGUAGUGUGAUGCUGUGGUAGUGUGAUGCUGUGGUAUUGUGAUGUUGUGGUAAUGUGAGGUUGUGAGGCUGUGAUAUUGUUAUGCUGUGGUAUUGUGAUGCUGUGGUAGUUUGAUGUUGUGGUAUUGUGAUACUGUGGUACUAUGAUGCUGUGGUAUAGUGAUGCUGUGGUAGUUUGAUGUGGUAUUGUGAUACUGUGGUACUAUGAUGCUGUGGUAUUGUGAUGCUGUGGUAUUGUGAUGCUGUGGUAGUGUGAUGCUGUGGUAUUGUGAUGCUGUGGUAUUGUGAUGCUGUGGUACUAUGGUGCUGUGGUUGUGGGGUAUUGUGAUGCUGUGAGGAUGUGAUGCUCUAUUACUGUGAUGCUGUGGUAUUGUGGUGCUGUGAUACUGUGUUGCUCAGGUACUGUAAUGCUUUAAUGCUGUGGUAAUGUAAUGCUGUGAUGCUGUGGUACUGUAAUGGUGUGGUAUGAUGAUGCUGUGGUAUUGUGGUGCUGUGAUACUGUGAUGCUGUGGAAAUGUGAUGCUGUGGAAAUGUAAUGCUGUGAUGCUGUAGCACUGUAAUGCUGCGGUAUUAUGAUGGUGUGGUACUGUGGUGCUCUGGUACUGUAUUGCUGUGGUACUGUAAGGCUGUGAUGCUGUGGUACUGUAAUGCUGUGGUACUGUGGUGCUCUGGUACUGUAUUGCUGUGGUAAGGCUGUGAUGCUGUGGUACUGUUAUGCUGUGAUGCUGUGGUACUGUAAUGCUGUGGUAUGAUUAUGCUGUGGUACUGUGGUGCUCUGGUACUGUAUUGCUGUGGUAAGGCUGUGAUGCUGUGGUACUGUUAUGCUGUGAUGCUGUGGUACUGUAAUGCUGUGGUAUGAUUAUGCUGUGGUACUGUGGUGCUCUGGUACUGUAUUGCUGUGGUAAGGCUGUGAUGCUGUGGUACUGUUAUGCUGUGAUGCUGUGGUACUGUAAUGCUGUGGUAUGAUCAUGCUGUGGUACUGUGGUGCUCUGGUACUGUAAUUCUGUGAUGCUGUGAAAUGAUGAUGCUGUGGUAUUUUAGUGCUCUGGUACUGUAUUGCUGUGGUACUGUAAGGCUGUGAUGCUGUGGUACUAUAAUGCUGUGGUAUGAUUAUGUUGUGGUACUUUAGUGCUCUGGUAUUGUAAUGCUGUGAUGCUGUGGAAUGAUGACGCUGUGGUACUGUGGUGCUCUGGUACUGUAAUGCUGUGAUGCUGUGGUACUAUAAUGCUGUGGUAUGAUAAUUAUGUGGUACUGUGGUACUAUGGUGCUCUAGCAGUUAAAUGCUGUGAUGCUGUGGUACAGUAAUGCUGUGGUAUGGUGAAGCUGUGGUACUGCGAUGCUGUGGCAUGAUGAUGCUUUGGUACUGUGGUGCUGUGGUUCUGUGGUGCUCUGGCAGUUAAAUGCUGUGAUGCUGUGGUACAGUAAUGCUGUGGUAUGGUGAAGCUGUGGUACUGCGAUGCUGUGGCAUGAUGAUGCUUUGGUUCUGUGGUGCUCUGGCAGUUAAAUGCUGUAAUGCUGUGGUACAGUAAUGCUGUGGGAUGGUGAUG